GCCUUGUGCAGGACACACUGCUGCUUACAUGCCUGGGACUCAACUGCCAGCGUCCGGUGUGGGAUCAGAGAAUUCAAGGGAUAAAAUAGAGAAGAGGACAAAUGUGAAACAGCACACAGUUGUGCACAGAUGAAGGAAAAAUGCCCCUGGGUAAAGGAAAAGGCCAGGAAGGGAAGAGGUUUCUUCAUCUGUCAGGGUGACAACGAACAUGUUCCAUGUAGCGUUCAUGAAAGGGGUUGAAGGAAGAACACUGCUAUUUGUAUUUUCUCUAAGCAGCCUGUGAUACGGAAUGGACCAGCUGGUCUGAACCCUUCCAGGCACUCACAGUGGGUUUGGGAAAGAGCCCUCUGUGUUCUUCUCACCAGUCAAGCAUGUGAAGGAGGGUAUGAAAAGGCACAGAGAGCCAUGGGGCCCAGAAAAUUCCAUCAAUCCAUCGCCUGCCUCCUCUGCAGCAGGCUCUGCCAAUCUGUCCACAGUUCCAGGGGCAGGUGGAGAGAGGGAUGUGAGGCAAUAAGUGGAAAUAGGAGCUGUGUGUGCCUUUGUGUGUGUGUGUGUGUGUGUGUGUGUGUGUCCGUCCAAGCACACAGACAGGACUAGCAAUAGAAGAGCAGGCAAGAGGGCGUGGGAGUCUGGGAACUCAUUUAUAAAAGCUCUUCUGCCCUAAAGCAAGUCAAACUCCCUGCUGAGGAGUUGCUUUUUCUUCCUCC
rnacentral:lncRNA from 1 species